rnacentral:lncRNA from 1 species
UGUGGCGGACCUGGAGGCGUUGGAUACCCUUCAGCGAAAUACCCUUGGUACCCACGUGGUGGCCCCGGUGGUGGGUAUCCUUGGUACCCACGUGGUGGCCCCGGUGGUGGGUAUCCUGGAUACCCUGGAGGUGGUGGCCCCGGUGGUGGGUAUCCUGGAUACCCUGGUGGUGGUGGUGGUGGUGGUGGGUACCCUUCGUGUGGUGGUGGAGGAGGCGCUGAUGGCGAGUACCCUGGAGGCGGGUAAGGUGAUGAGUACCCUGUCAGUUCAAAAUCAAUCAGAUUCUAAAUUCAAAAUAGAAGGGGGGGAAAGAGAGUUUAAAGAGAGUUUGAUUACCUGGAGGAGGGUAGGGAUCAUGAGGGGCUCUCUGGUAACUCAUGAUUUUAUCUUUUGGGGCUCUUCAAGAUUGAAGAGAAGAUGGAUCGAUAGAUGGAUGGAUG